CCUACGGGAGGCAGCAGUGGGGGAUAUUGCACAAUGGGGGGAACCCUGACGCAGCGACGCCGCGUGGGUGAAGGAGUGCUUCGGCAUGUAAAGCCCUAUCGGCAGGGAAGAAGCAAGACGGUACCUGACUAAGAAGCCCCGGCUAACUACGUGCCAGCAGCCGCGGUAAUACGUAGGGGGCGAGCGUUAUCCGGAUUCACUGGGCGUAAAGGGAGCGUAGACGGCCAUGCAAGCCAGGGGUGAAAGCCCGGGGCCCAACCCCGGGACUGCCCUUGAAACUGUGCGGCUAGAGUGCGGGAGGGGCAGGCGGAAUGCCUGGUGUAGCGGUGAAAUGCGUAGAUAUCAGGAGGAACACCGGCGGCGAAGGCGGCCUGCUGGACUGCGACUGACGUUGAGGCUCGAAAGCGUGGGGAGCGAACAGGAUUAGAUACCCUUGUAGUC
rnacentral:rRNA from 1 species